rnacentral:rRNA from 1 species
GCAUAUCAAUAAGCGGAGGAAAAGAAACCAACAGGGAUUGCCUCAGUAACGGCGAGUGAAGCGGCAAAAGCUCAAAUUUGAAAUCUAGCACCUUCGGUGUUCGAGUUGUAAUUUGAAGAUGGUAACCUUGGGUUUGGCUCUUGUCUAUGUUCCUUGGAACAGGACGUCAUAGAGGGUGAGAAUCCCGUCUGAUGAGAUGCCCAUUCCUAUGUAAGGUGCUAUCGAAGAGUCGAGUUGUUUGGGAAUGCAGCUCUAAGUGGGUGGUAAAUUCCAUCUAAAGCUAAAUAUUGGCGAGAGACCGAUAGCGAACAAGUACAGUGAUGGAAAGAUGAAAAGAACUUUGAAAAGAGAGUGAAAAAGUACGUGAAAUUGUUGAAAGGGAAGGGCAUUAGAUCAGACUUGGUGUUUUACGAUUAUCUUCUCUUCUUGAGUUGUGCACUCGUAUUUCACUGGGCCAGCAUCGAUUCGGAUGGCAAGAUAAUGGCAGUUGAAUGUGGCUUCACUUCGGUGGAGUGUUAUAGCUUCUGCUGAUAUUGCCUGUCUGGAUCGAGGGCUGCGUCUUUUGACUAGGAUGCUGGCGUAAUGAUCUAAUGCCGCCCGUCUUGAAACACGGACCAAGGAGUCUAACGUCUAUGCGAGUGUUUGGGUGUAAAACCCGUACGCGUAAUGAAAGUGAACGUAGGUGAGAGCUCUUUUUUGAGUGCAUCAUCGACCGAUCCUGAUGUUUUCGGAUGGAUUUGAGUAAGAGCAUAGCUGUUGGGACCCGAAAGAUGGUGAACUAUGCCUGAAUAGGGUGAAGCCAGAGGAAACUCUGGUGGAGGCUCGUAGCGGUUCUGACGUGCAAAUCGAUCGUCGAAUUUGGGUAUAGGGCGAA